AGUGAACGCUGGCGGUAGGCCUAACACAUGCAAGUCGAACGGCAGCACAGUAAGAGCUUGCUCUUACGGGUGGCGAGUGGCGGACGGGUGAGGAAUACAUCGGAAUCUACUUUUUCGUGGGGGAUAACGUAGGGAAACUUACGCUAAUACCGCAUACGACCUACGGGUGAAAGCAGGGGAUCUUCGGACCUUGCGCGAUUGAAUGAGCCGAUGUCGGAUUAGCUAGUUGGCGGGGUAAAGGCCCACCAAGGCGACUAUCCGUAGCUGGUCUGAGAGGAUGAUCAGCCACACUGGAACUGAGACACGGUCCAGACUCCUACGGGAGGCAGCAGUGGGGAAUAUUGGACAAUGGGUGCAAGCCUGAUCCAGCCAUACCGCGUGGGUGAAGAAGGCCUUCGGGUUGUAAAGCCCUUUUGUUGGGAAAGAAAAGCAGCAGGUUAAUACCCCGCUGUUCUGACGGUACCCAAAGAAUAAGCACCGGCUAACUUCGUG
rnacentral:rRNA from 1 species